AUACGUAGGGGGCGAGCGUUGUCCGGAAUGAUUGGGCGUAAAGGGCGCGUAGGCGGCGCGGUAAGUCUGGAGUGAGAGUCCUGCUUUCAAGGUGGGAAUUGCUUUGGAUACUGCCGCGCUUGAGUGCAGGAGAGGUUAUCGGAAUUCCCGGUGUAGCGGUGAAAUGCGUAGAGAUCGGGAGGAACACCAGUGGCGAAGGCGGGUAACUGGACUGCAACUGACGCUGAGGCGCGAAAGUGUGGGUAGCAAACAGGAUUAGAUACCCUGGUAGUCCACACUGUAAACGAUGAAUACUAGGUGUAGGGGGUAUCGACUCCCUCUGUGCCGCAGUUAACACAAUAAGCAUUCCGCCUGGGGAGUACGGCCGCAAGGUUGAAACUCAAAGGAAUUGACGGGG
rnacentral:rRNA from 1 species